AUUGAACGCUGGCGGCAUGCCCUACACAUGCAAGUCGAACGGCAGCACGGGACUCGGGCAACUGAGCCCUGGUGGCGAGUGGCGAACGGGUGAGUAAUGCAUCGGAACGUGCCCAGUAGUGGGGGAUAACUAGUCGAAAGAUUAGCUAAUACCGCAUACGACCUAUGGGUGAAAGCGGGGGAUUUUCGGGCAACCGAGAACCUCGCGCUAUCGGAGCGGCCGAUGUCNGAUUAGCUAGUUGGCGGGGUAAAAGCCCACCAAGGCUUCGAUCAGUAGCUGGUCUGAGAGGACGACCAGCCACACUGGGACUGAGACACGGCCCAGACUCCUACGGGAGGCAGCAGUGGGGAAUUUUGGACAAUGGGCGCAAGCCUGAUCCAGCCAUGCCGCGUGC
rnacentral:rRNA from 1 species